CUUCUUCUUCUUCUUCUUCUUCUUCACCUUUGUCUGUAUUCUCCAUUUCUCUGUCAAUUCAAACGGGAAGCAUAACAACAUGAGGUUGCAACUUUUUGCGAUUGCAGGUUUACUCUUACUUAUGUUACCACCAAUCUCCGCUAGAUUCUUCCCCAACGUUUCAUCAAUUCCACCGGGUUUUGUCCCUAACGCCACAGCCCCUGCUUGGGACUCCUUCAAGAAAUUUGCUGGCUGCCGCGCCGGCGAAAAUUUCGAUGGCUUAUCCAAGCUCAAGCAGUACUUUCAUUACUUCGGCUACAUUCCUAAUUCCCCCUCUAACUUCACCGACGAUUUUGACGACGCUUUUGAGUCUGCUCUCAAAACCUAUCAACAAAAUUUCAAUCUUAACGUCACUGGUGAGCUCGACCAGCAAACGCUUAACAAGCUUGUACAGCCAAGAUGCGGCAACGCCGAUAUAGUUAACGGUACCACCACCAUGAACUCCGGCAAGUGGAUGGCGUUUAACAGCACCUCUCUCUUCCACACCGUCGGUCACUACACGUUCUUUCCCGGCAAUCCACACUGGCCAGACAGCAAACGAGAUCUGACUUACUCGUUUUUCCCCGGUAACGAAUUGACUGAAGAGGAGAAGAGCGUGUAGUGACCGACGGUGUGGAAGAGAG
rnacentral:misc_RNA from 1 species